CAGACAGCCCACGCCUGAGGCUGGGGUUGUCCACAGGUGAGGUGUCCAGCAUGCAGCGGAGCAAAGCGCAAAGACCGGCCACCCCGGAAGUGUCCCAUGUGCUCAGGCUCUGGCAGGCGCAGGAGGAACAGCCUGUUUGAGUUCGUGUCUGAGCCCCACCUCGACUGCCCCAG
rnacentral:lncRNA from 1 species